rnacentral:rRNA from 1 species
UUUGAAAUCUGGCGGUCCAAGGCCGUCCGAGUUGUAAUCUAGAGAAGCGUUUUCCGCGCCGGACCGUGUACAAGUCCCUUGGAACAGGGCGUCAUAGAGGGUGAGAAUCCCGUCCGUGACACGGACCCCCGGCGCACUGCGAUACGCUUUCGAAGAGUCGAGUUGUUUGGGAAUGCAGCUCAAAACGGGUGGUAAAUUCCAUCUAAAGCUAAAUACAGGCGAGAGACCGAUAGCGAACAAGUACCGUGAGGGAAAGAUGAAAAGAACUUUGGAAAGAGAGUUAAACAGUACGUGAAAUUGUUGAAAGGGAAACGCUUGAAGUCAGUCGCGUCCGCCGGGACUCAGCCUCGCUUUUGCUGGGUGCACUUCUCGGCGGACGGGCCAGCAUCGAUUUCGGUCGCCGGAAAAGGACGGGAGGAAAUGUGGCAGCUUUGGCUGUGUUAUAGACUCUCGUCGCACACGGUGGCCGGGAUCGAGGAC